rnacentral:other from 1 species
UCGACCCUGCGGUGUGCGUGACGUCCAAUAAAAGCUGCGGGCCAAACAUUCCCUAGAGGGAGCCCGGGCUCUGCGGGCAGCCGGCGCUGGCGUACGCUAGCACCCUAAGCCCGCAGGAGGGCACCCACCUGCUCGCUAGGGUCGCGAGCUUGAGGACGAACGGCACCGCGGGGCAAUU